UCGGGAAUAUUGCGCAAUGGAGGAAACUCUGACGCAGUGACGCCGCGUAUAGGAAGAAGGUCUUCGGAUUGUAAACUAUUGUCGUUAGGGAAGAAAAAGGACAGUACCUAAGGAGGAAGCUCCGGCUAACUACGUGCCAGCAGCCGCGGUAAUACGUAGGGAGCAAGCGUUAUCCGGAUUUAUUGGGUGUAAAGGGUGCGUAGACGGGUUAAUAAGUUAGUUGUGAAAUCCCUCGGCUCAACUGAGGAACUGCAACUAAAACUGUUAAUCUUGAGUGUUGGAGAGGAAAGCGGAAUUCCUAGU
rnacentral:rRNA from 1 species